UGAGGAACAUGACCUUCGGCGGGGGAUAGCCGGCCCAACGGCCGGGUAAUACCGCGUACGACCACAUGGGGACAUCCCUGAGUGGUGAAAGCAGCAAUGCGCCGAUGGAGUGCCUCGCGGCCUAUCAGCUAGUUGGUGAGGUAACGGCUCACCAAGGCGACGACGGGUAGCUGGUCUGAGAGGAUGGCCAGCCACAUUGGGACUGAGACACGGCCCAGACCUGUACCGGGGGGG
rnacentral:rRNA from 1 species